GUUGCCAACUGUCAGUGUCACCAUACUUAAGAAAGGUAUGCAACCGCAUUACACGUUCAUUCUUGAAUCCGCCUUAAUUCAAAAUGUCGAGCUCACGAUCACUACAGAUAUUGUUCUCCGUAUUGAUUAUAUCGCUAAUGAUUUCACCGGUCGUAUUGCAAAAUCCUAACUCUGACAGUGUCGAAACAUCACCCUUGGCUGGAUAUUGUUUCAUUUUUAAGCAAUGUUACAAUUUCCUUUGUGACUGCGAACUCAAGCACCUAAAAGAAAUACUUAAAGCAACUAAGCAGCAUUUUCGCCGUUAAUAAUUACUUGGUAUCGUAAAUUAUCGCAAACAAAGUUAAUUACCUAUUGUCAAAGAAUUUACUCAAAACAUAAAACAUAUGAAUCACACCAAUAUCAAAUCAUUUAAGAAUGCAUAAGCAAAUUCGACAUUAUUAACGCGUAGUUUCAAGUAUAAUGAUGGCGACGUUCGUUUCACUCUUUUUACUGCUCAUCAAUGUUUCUAUACAGUCGGCCCAGCCCACUUCUCAAGAUCCACGUAUAAUCAUGCGUGGUUUCUGUUUCAUUUUCGGUACAUGCUACGACUUUUUCUGCAAUUGCGACCUGACCAGGAUUAAAAACAGAGAAACGUAACCGAAUUGUCUAUGCCUAUAUGAUAUAACUUGUGCAAGAAAUAAAAAUAAAGUUAUCAAA